rnacentral:snoRNA from 1 species
AUUCCGUGUGAAGAUUCUCAGACCAUAGGAAGUGCCGUAUGACACUGUAAACUGGUGCUUCUGACACUGUAAACUUUGUGGUUUGGUCUGUUCCGAAAUCUCUAUUUGCAGCUGGUAUGGUUCAGCUGUUUGCGUGAUUUUAAGUGGUUCUCCGAGGGAU